rnacentral:lncRNA from 1 species
AAGAAGUAGGGGGUGGUUGGAGUCAGCUCCAUCCUGCCUCAGUUUCUCCAUUUCCCCUCGGGUCAGGUGGGCCUCAUUGGCUUUGGGGUGAAUCCGCAGGCCCCUGGGAGCUGGUUCUGUAAGGUUUUUGGUGCACAGGGCUCCGCACCCCCAUUCCCUCCCAUAACACUUGCACUAGCACCCAGUUGCUUGGGUCAUCUGGACCAGGUCUGUCUGCUGGAAGCUGGUCUCUGUCCACCUUGGUGAGGCCCGUGACCCGGGGCUCUGCCCGCCCAGCAGGGCCAUGGGGCCCAGGCCAGACAUGUCCUCUCCCGCACGGCCUCUGGCAGUGGCCGGCUCAGGUGAUCCGGGCUGGGAUGCAGGUGGCCCAGGUGUCCCUCUUGCUGGAGAGGGUUUUCUUCAAGGGCGCGUGGACACUUUUCUCACCAUCAUCUUUGUCUUUGUGGAGCCGGAUUCAGGCUGUGCACUUGCUCACUCACACCUGCUCUCAAGGACGGCCUCUCGGAAGGACCCACAGGCCAGGCCCUGGAUCAGAGAGAAAAGAUAAGAACCAUGAUGCCUCUGGCAUGACCUCACUCCUGGGUGGGUGGGUCGGCCCCCAGCAGCUCCCUGGGCAGGACUCAGGAAAUGGGGUUCCCUUCCCUGCCCCAGCAGUGGUUUCUCGGGUGCUCUGUGGCUUCCACCAGCGUCCUCCUUGUGCCAAACUGUCCCUGCCCUUUGGAAGCCUCUGUAAGUGUUUCAGUCAUGCCACAGACCAGUGCACAGGACAGGACGCACUGCCCGGAAAUCUGAGCUCCAUUCUCCAGCUGUAAUCCCUUCAUGCCCCGGGGAAGUCUUUUAACCUGGCUGUGCCUCAGUUUCCUCAAUGCUAAUAGCCAACUAACCUUUCCCUGCCUCCUCUCCAAAGCCCCACAAGAUUUGGCAUGAGAACUGAGAGUUCUCUAUAAAUUCAAGCCUUCAUUAUUCCAGAAUGCUCACCUCCACAGCAGGCAACUAGGCCCUCAGGUGUUGAGGGCCCUCCCAGCAGAAGGAAGGGGUCUGUGCCCAAGACACAUCUGGCACCACCUGCGGGUGCAGGUUCCCUCCUACCUGAGCUGGAGUUCUGUCUCAGCCUUGCUGCUGCUUCUCUGGGAACACAGGAAUCUCUUUGCUCAUGGUGCCAGGCUUGGGCACCCCAGGCAGUUUUGCCUGUUGUCUCGUUACCCACCCUGGCUAGGGGAGGAUUCCUUUGAUAACUUUCCACCCCCAAAGAAAAGACGGUCUUGAAAAGGAGACAGAGAGAAUGCCCACCCUCUGUCAGGACAGAGCUUUACUCCAAGCCUCCGUCUUCCCAGUCUCUGGGUAGCUGCCACUGACUUAGGGCCCAGCUGUGGGUACCCCACGUCCUAUGACAGUAUGUGAUAAGUGCUGGUUUCUUUUCACCAAAACAAAAUUACUCAAAAGAAACUGGACCUUCUGGGAACUGCCUGCUCUCAUUUCAAGGUCGAUUUCAAUCUUUGGCUUCAUUAAAAAAAAAAAAAAAA